UACGUAGGGUGCGAGCGUUGUCCGGAAUUACUGGGCGUAAAGCGUGCGCAGGCGGCUUUGCAAGACAGAUGUGAAAUCCCCGGGCUUAACCUGGGAACUGCAUUUGUGACUGCAUGGCUGGAGUGCGGCAGAGGGGGAUGGAAUUCCGCGUGUAGCAGUGAAAUGCGUAGAUAUGCGGAGGAACACCGAUGGCGAAGGCAAUCCCCUGGGCCUGCACUGACGCUCAUGCACGAAAGCGUGGGGAGCAAACAGG
rnacentral:rRNA from 1 species